rnacentral:rRNA from 1 species
AGAGUUUGAUCAUGGCUCAGGAUGAACGCGUAGCUACAGGCUUACACAUGCAAGUCGAGGGAAACGACAUCGAAAGCUUGCUUUGAUGGGCGUCGACCGGCGCACGGGUGAGUAACGCUAUCCAACCUGCCCACCACUUGGGGAUAACCUUGCGAAAGUAAGACUAAUACCCAAUGAUAUCUCUAGAAGACAUCUGAAAGAGAUUAAAGAUUUAUCGGUGAUGGAUGGGGAUGCGUCUGAUUAGCUUGUUGGCGGGGUAACGGCCCACCAAGGCAACGAUCAGUAGGGGUUCUGAGAGGAAGGUCCCCCCACAUUGGAACUGAGACACGGUCCAAACUCCUACGGGAGGGAGCA